rnacentral:rRNA from 3 species
AACUUUCAACAACGGAUCUCUUGGCUCUGGCAUCGAUGAAGAACGCAGCGAAAUGCGAUAAGUAAUGUGAAUUGCAGAAUCCAGUGAAUCAUCGAAUCUUUGAACGCACAUUGCGCCCGCCAGCAUUCUGGCGGGCAUGCCUGUUCGAGCGUCAU